AGGGUUCUGUAGAAGGGAGAAAAGUGUCCCACCAGGACCUGUUUAGUCCCCAAGGAAUGGGGACAGAGAGGAAGUAAAGGCAGGUGGUCUGCUGAAGAUCUGGGUUGGGUUUGGUACUGUGUGGUGAUCCAGCGGAGCUGGCUUUGAAGAAUUCCUAUGUUGGCUUCAUUGAUUAUUUCUUCUCUGGCUGUGGAAUGUCCCAGAGUAGAGCUUUCCAGUCUCCAGCCUGAAGAACAAAAGGGACCUGGUUGUGUGAGAAGGCUGGGAUUCUCUGCAUUCAGCAUUCCAAUGACCCCUGGACACUAAAUCCCUUUGUUUUCAGUAAGGUAUCUGUUAUGACUUUUAU
rnacentral:lncRNA from 1 species